rnacentral:rRNA from 1 species
AUUGAACGCUGGCGGCAGGCCUAACACAUGCAAGUCGAACGAGUGGCGGACGGGUGAGUAAUGUCUGGGAAACUGCCUGAUGGAGGGGGAUAACUACUGGAAACGGUAGCUAAUACCGCAUCCCAUCGGAUGUGCCCAGAUGGGAUUAGCUAGUAGGUGGGGUAAAGGCUCACCUGCGCGACGAUCCCUAGCUGGUCUGAGAGGAGGACCAGCAACACGGGAACUGAGACACGAUCAAGAGUCCGAAGGGAGGCAGCAGAUGGAAGUAUUGCACAAUGUGCGCAAGCCUGAUGCAGCCAUGCCGCGUGUAUGAAGAAGGCAGUCGGGUGGGAAAGUACUUUCAGCGGGGAGGCGUUACCCGCAGAAGAAGCACCGGCGAACUCCGGGCCAGCAGCCGCGGUAAUUC